AGCGUUGUCCGGAUUUAUUGGGCGUAAAGGGCGUGUAGGCGGCCAAGCAAGUCAGGGGUGAAAACCUGGGGCUCAACCCCGGGCCUGCCUCUGAAACUGGUUGGCUUGAGUGCUCUAGAGGGCAGUGGAAUUCCCGGUGUAGCAGUGAAAUGCGUAGAGAUCGGGAGGAACACCAGUGGCGAAGGCGGCUGCCUGGGGAGUAACUGACGCUGAGGCGCGAAAGCUGGGGGAGCAAACAGGAUUAGAUACCCUGGUAGUCCCAGCCGUAAACGAUGAGUGCUAGGUGUGAGGGGUAUCGACCCCCCUCGUGCCGGAGUUAACGCAAUAAGCACUCCGCCUGGGGAGUACGGCCGCAAGGUUGAAACUCAAAGGAAUUGACGGGGGCCCGCACAAGCAGCGGAGCAUGUGGUUUAAUUCGAAGCAACGCGUAGAACCUUACCAGGGCUUGACAUGUAGCGAAGCCCGUAGAAAUACGGGUGUGCCUCCCUAUGGGAGGAACGCUAACACAGGUGGUGCAUGGUUGUCGUCAGCUCGUGUCGUGAGAUGUUGGGUUAAGUCCCGCAACGAGCGCAACCCCUAUCGUAUGUUGCCAGCGUAAAGACGGGCACUCAUGCGAGACUGCCGGUGACAAACCGGAGGAAGGUGGGGAUGACGUCAAAUCAUCAUGCCCCUUAUGUCCUGGGCUACACACGUGCUACAAUGGCCGUCACAAAGCGAACCGAACCCGUGAGGGGGAGGCAAACGCGAAAGGCGGUCGUAGUUCAGAUCGCAGGCUGCAACUCGCCUGCGUGAAGUCGGAAUCGCUAGUAAUCACGGGUCAGCAUACCGUGGUGAAUACGUUCCCGGGCCUUGUACACACCGCCCGUCACACCACGAAAGUUUGCUACACCCGAAGCCGGUGGUCGAACCCGAAAGGGAC
rnacentral:rRNA from 1 species